AAUACCUUGUUGAGGACAAGUACCGCUGGGAUGGACGGAUGGCGUGCCAGACAUUUGAGCACUUCAAAGUCGAGCCUUCUGCACAUCCAUCUGUCCGACACAUCAACCAUGACCACAACUGUGAACAGACAGGCAGGCUGAGCAGAUGUCUCCGCAAACGUCCAAACACGCCGGCUGUUUGUUAGUUCUGGAGGACUUCGCUCAGGGUGCAGCACACCUCCAGUGGGGAAGGAUGAUGAAGGAUAUCAGGUAGCUCACAAUCUGUCAUCAUCAAACACGAAAAGCUCUUCAACCACGACCGUGCAAGACAAAAACUGAGCUUUUACCUGACACUUUACUGCAGAAUUCAAAGUGAGGCAAAGACCAAAAGGAUAUUUGAGGAUCAGGAAAUUUUCGCCCCUCUGCCUUUCUCUCACUCACUCACUCACUCACUCACUCACUCACUCACUCACUCACUCACUCACUCACUCACUCACUCACUCACUCACUCACUCACUCACUCACUCACUCACUCACUCACUCACUCACUCACUCACUCACAUUCAUUCAAGGCCUGCACCCCCUCAGGGUUUUCCUCCCAUGACCGUUUCACGUGGGCGUGAAUCGGACUGCUCUCUAUGACUGCAUUAACUUUGGCCUUCAGGAAGAGCACUCUGGCUAAAAAAGGAUUUGCCCACAGACCAUUAAUCAUAAGCUGUAGCCCACAUUGCCAUUUGAAGAGCACUUGCCAAUAAGAUUUCACGUGCUUUGAUGAAAACCUCGCCGCGCUUCUACAUUUCAGUCAAUCAAUUUGAUGUAAUUAACGUGCGCCGCGUGACAUAUAUGACAGAACAAGGUGACAUCAGGCAUCGCAUUUUAUGCUCCAGUGCUAACACUAGCUGGGAUCAGACACGCACUAACUGGCAGUGCCUCCUCGAAUAAGACCUGGCUGCUCAUGAGGAAUAACAAAGUUCACGGAAUCAUAAGCACAUGAGCCAGGGAGGCAUGUCAUUGAGAGGCAGAAGUGGGGGGGGGAGACAAUGUGUCAGUGCAUCACAGCAUCCAUCACACCCUGAUUGCAUUGAGAGGUGUGAUGCCUCACAGCUUGCUGGCUGCAGAGGCCCCACCAUCCUUACACAUUCAUUUUUGUAUUUUUUUUACCAAUAUGCAACUUUUGACUGCUUAUCAAUCAGACUCCACAUCAUGUGACAGACCCUUGAGGUCCCUUCACCCAGCAAUCACUGUUCUGUCCUUGCACCGGCUACCUUUUUUCUUAAAGCGGCAAUUUAACCCCCAAACUAACCGUACAGGUCACACUCACGCUCUGAUUGUACAAUCUCUUUCACAGCGGGGGAGAUCAAGUAAAGACUUCCAAUCGAUGCAACUUGCCUGCCGAGGGAAUCAAUAAUGACUCCCUUUGAAAUCAUCAGUCAUGUCAUCGGUGAAUAUAAAGAGCAUAAUUGGGAACGGCGUUCUUUUAACAUCGCGUAUUGAUGUCGUCUUUGCUACGGAGUGAGAGAGCAACAUUCUGCAUCAUUAACUUUGUAUUAUUUCCUACUGGAGCCUGCUGCUACUGCUGCUUCCCCACCUGCUGAACUUUAAGCGCUGCAUGUGAUUGGGCUUUCACGCCACAUUUAUCCUUCUUUCACUCACUGAUGUGGAGAGUGAGGCUUGCCGGCAGAAUUUAGCAGCACCAUUAUCAUACAUGUAAUGCAGCCCGGGUGUUGGAAAGUGAGUAUUUGGAAUAGUUUAUUCCAGGAAUGUCGGAGAAGUCGGCUACAGGUCUCUCCAUCCAUCCAUUGCCUUGAGGCAAACAAACAUUUACUGUCUUUGGACAAUUCACUGACAAGGAUACAAAAGGGAUGAUUCACAGGUAUCAAAAAUGACACGAGACUUUUUCAAAAACGCAAAACUAGAAAAGUACAGUUAAAAACUAGGAACAAAAGCAGUGACAAAUAUUCUUAGCAAAGCUGGACACACAUAUAAACUCACAAAGCACAAGAAACAAAAGCAUUGACUCUUCAUAAUGCAUUGAAUUGUUCCUAAAACGAUCAAUCAGCGGCAAGGCUGGACUGGCCAUCGAGCGUAGCAGCCUAGCGUCAUCAGGUGCUGAUGUGAUGUAAUAAACAUUUUUGCAUUUGAUUGUUUUUAAAUUAAAAAUGUACUUCCUUUUUUCCAGGCCCACAAAUCAGAGGGAACAGCCCAUCUUGCCAUUUACGAAAUAGACAUUAAUGUGAACCAAGCAACAUUCUUGACAGAGUAAAUCAGUAGUCGGUAUUCAAAUUCUAGAAUAUUUUAACAUAAAAUAUUUUAUAAAAUAAUUUCAUCCAAAUUCUGUGAAUAAAUGGCAAAAAUAAAACAGGUUUUGUGAGGAGCAAGAAGACCUGUUGCAUUAGUUUUAUUCCUGUCCAAAUGUUGACACGUUGUGGAGGACUAUUCAACUUUUGUGAAAGUAAUUUGGGGUUAUUUUUGUGUCGCUGUGAUGCCCUCAGUAUGUUGUUUCUCCUUUUAACAUCACUUUGUGGCAGGAGUUCAAACUGCUUUCUCUCUUUCUGAUAAUAAACUGACAUCAAUACUUAG